CGUGAGUGAAGAAGGCCUUCGGGUUGUAAAGCUCUUUCGGGAGGGAAGAAAUCAUGUGGGCUAAUACCCUGUUUGGAUUAAGGGACCGGAAUAAGAAGCACCGGCUAACUACCUGCCCGCAGCCGCGGUAAUACCUAAGGUGCGAGCGUUUAUCCGAAUUACUGGGCGUAAAGCGUGCGCAGGCGGUUUUUUAAGACAGGCGUGAAAUCCCCGGGCUUAACCUGGGAACUGCGCUUGUGACUGGAAGGCUAGAGUACGGCAGAGGGGGGUGGAAUUCCACGUGUAGCAGUGAAAUGCGUAGAGAUGUGGAGGAACACCGAUGGCCAAGGCAGCCCCCUGGGCCGAUACUGACGCUCAUGCACGAAAGCGUGGGGA
rnacentral:rRNA from 1 species